rnacentral:rRNA from 1 species
CGUGGUAACCUACCUAUAAGACUGGGAUAACUCCGGGAAACCGGGGCUAAUACCGGAUAACACAUGAAACCGCAUGGUUUCAUGAUGAAAGACGGUUUUGCUGUCACUUAUAGAUGGACCCGCGGCGUAUUAGCUAGUUGGUAAGGUAACGGCUUACCAAGGCAACGAUACGUAGCCGACCUGAGAGGGUGAUCGGCCACACUGGAACUGAGACACGGUCCAG